GAUUGAACGCUGGCGGCAGGCCUAACACAUGCAAGUCGAGCGGCAGCACGGGUACUUGUACCUGGUGGCGAGCGGCGGACGGGUGAGUAAUGCCUAGGAAUCUGCCUGGUAGUGGGGGAUAACGCUCGGAAACGGACGCUAAUACCGCAUACGUCCUACGGGAGAAAGCAGGGGACCUUCGGGCCUUGCGCUAUCAGAUGAGCCUAGGUCGGAUUAGCUAGUUGGUGAGGUAAUGGCUCACCAAGGCGACGAUCCGUAACUGGUCUGAGAGGAUGAUCAGUCACACUGGAACUGAGACACGGUCCAGACUCCUACGGGAGGCAGCAGUGGGGAAUAUUGGACAAUGGGCGAAAGCCUGAUCCAGCCAUGCCGCGUGUGUGAAGAAGGUCUUCGGAUUGUAAAGCACUUUAAGUUGGGAGGAAGGGCAGUUACCUAAUACGUAAUUGU
rnacentral:rRNA from 1 species